UAAAGUAAGAACAGGUUACCCUUUAGUCAAAUGAUAUCAGAACAAAAGUGUCACAUUGAACGACUGAACACAAUUGUGUCCCUAAUUAUGUUCUGAAGUUGUGUACGUUCCUAGACUUUUCGUAAAUAUAAACUGUAAGAGAGAGAGAGAGAGAGAGAGAGAGAGAGGUGAUACCUCAGGGGUUUGUUCACUUGGUGAGGACAUAGAGAGCAUAGAGAAUUCCAGGGAUGAACCCCA